CUCUCUCUGUUUGCUCUCGCGUCCGCCGCGCCCGUCCCGUCCCGCCUGCGCCCGCGCGUGUGCUCGCUCGCCGCCUCCGAUCCACCGGCCCACCACCGCGCCGGCGGCAUGGCGGAUCAGCUCACCGACGACCAGAUCGCCGAGUUCAAGGAGGCCUUCAGCCUCUUCGACAAGGACGGAGAUGGUGAGCGCGUCCCUCCUCCCUCCCUCCCCCCUCCCUUACACCUCCCGUCCCUCGGAUCUCUCCUUGGCGCGACGCUCGCCGCCGCCGCGCGCGCGGUGGCAUUGCCCCUGCCUCCCCCGUCGCGGGGCGCUCCUUUCGUGGAUUCGCGCUGCCGGGUGGCAGAUCCGGCCCGGAUCUGGGCCUAGCCGCUGGGAAAAUCGCUUGUUGCUGUCGUGUGCGCGCCUAGUGGCGAGGCGAUGAUGUGCACGCGACGCUUAUCCUCGGGGUUGACCAUUUCGUGACAAGGACGUCUCGUCUUGUCGCCGUCUAGGUUUUAUUUUGUUUUUGGAUCGCGUCGCGAUCGCGUUCACUGUCGCUUCUAGAACAACUAAGCCUGAACGGGUCGUGAUUGUUGACCGUGGACUGUCGCUGUGUAGCAGUAGCUUGCUCUUCAUCGCACUUUUUUCGAUUUAGGUAGUUUAAUUCGCGCAGAGAUCCCUGGAGGUGGAGAAAAAUCUCGCCAUGUAGUAUUAUAGGGAAAUUCAUGAACGUUUGAUGACGUGGUAUAGUAAAUUUUAAGCUAUUGUUUGAUUCGGCUUUGGAUGAUUUGGUUGAAGUUUCUUAUUAGUCAUGUAGAGUACCAUAAUGUAAAAGUUUGGUUAAUAACCGUGUAGAACUGUCUGGGUUUGAACUUUCCACAGCGAAUUUACUGUUGCAUCAAUCUACUUUGAUGUUAUGAAAUUGCUGUGCACACGAUUGUUUCACAGACGACUUCUGUACGAUGCUCCCAUCGAUGGCUGCUGCCUGCAGCAUAUGUGAUAAACGGUUGUACUCCCUCUGUCCCAUAACUACACUAGUGUCAAAAAGCGUCUUACAUUAUGGGACAGAGGGAGUAGUUUUUUUGUCGUCUGUGAAUCGUCCGCAAGCGGUCGUCCGUGUAGCACUGCUGUUGAUGUUAUUUUGUGAACUUAUCGAGGAUAAAUCUAGGUUUGAACUUUCCACUGCGAAUUUACUGUUGCAUUAAUCUACUUUGAUGUUAUUGUGUGAACUUAUCACUGAGGAUAAAUCUAGAUAUGCACCUUCCCACUUGAACCUAUGCAAGAUAUUCUCAGUAUUGUACCCUGCGUGGAUAUUCUCAGUAUUAGCACCCUGCGUGGAUAGUCCUUACUGCUUUCAAUCUCAUUUAGACCUUAUCCAUUACUGGCAAUAAGCCUAUUAUUUCCUUUUUUUUUCAUAAGUUGAUCUCUCCUGAAUUGAUGUGUAGUUAACAGUGAUGUUUGCUGUUUUCUAAAGAAAUUUUAAUUUGUUUUAAGCACAAUCAACGUUCUAUGUUUGAUCCUGGAGUUGUUUGUAUGUGUCUCUUACAGGUUGCAUCACCACCAAGGAGCUGGGAACAGUCAUGCGUUCGCUGGGGCAGAACCCAACGGAGGCUGAGCUCCAGGACAUGAUCAAUGAAGUCGACGCUGAUGGCAACGGCACCAUUGACUUCCCAGAGUUCCUCAACCUGAUGGCCCGCAAGAUGAAGGACACUGACUCAGAGGAGGAGCUCAAGGAGGCCUUCAGGGUGUUUGACAAGGACCAAAACGGCUUCAUCUCUGCUGCUGAGCUCCGCCACGUCAUGACGAACCUCGGCGAGAAGCUCACCGACGAGGAGGUGGACGAGAUGAUCCGUGAAGCCGACGUCGACGGUGAUGGCCAGAUCAACUACGAGGAGUUCGUCAAGGUCAUGAUGGCCAAAUGAGCACCGUGCUCCGUGCUCCCAAGCAGGAGGAGAAUUGUGCAUUGCAUAUUAGUUUAAGAUGCAACUCUUAUUUGAUCGAUUUCCAGUUAAGCAUCCUACCUAGCUGUAGCUGCUAAAGCGGAUCGGACGACGCAAUUCCUGCUAUGUUCUCCAGUGUGUUUCCAGACCUCUUGUGUUUUAUGUGAACUUGUGUCCUCCCUGGUGUAUCCUGAUUGCUGUUGGGCCCCGUUUGUAGUAUAUUUUUUCAUCAACUUCUGCUUCACUCUUCUAGUAUCAAUGGAAAGCCGGUGUUUCGUAAUUCUUUGACUCUUCAUUAAUUUUACAGAUGUUAUCCUGAGCUGUGGUGCGUGCUUUCGCUUGUGAAUGGCAGAUGAAGAUACAAUUGAUGUAUGUGAUGCUGGAUGAAAUUUGAAAUUUAAAUUUAGCCUUCACAGAAAAGUAUCAGGCUUAAAUGUGCUGCUGGGUAGGUUGCAACCAACAAUUGCUGGAUGAUAGCAACGUUGCAGCCUGUGCCUGUGAGGAGUAGUAGGUAGCAACUACCACCGUGCUCAUGGUCCUCUUAAGGCCUGGAAUUCCAUGUGCUUGUGGAAGAGUUGAACACUUGCACAUGGAGCAGGAGAAGAAGCUCAAGGUGCUCUGCCUCCAUGGCUUCCGGACGAGCGGCGGUUUCCUGAAGAAGCAGAUCAGCAAAUGGCACCCUUCCAUCCUCCAGCAGUUCGACACGGUUUCUUCCCUCGACUCGAUGAUAGAUCCUGUUUAAGCGCUUUUCGCCUUUUUUGCUUUGGUUUGAUCCCAAGUUCAAUUCUGCUGGGUUUUUCAGGUCUUCCCUGAUGGCCAGUUCCCAGCUGGGGGGAAAUCGGACAUCGAGGGCAUAUUCCCCCCACCAUACUUCGAGUGGUUUCAGUUCGACAAGGUAUUCUUCAGUACUCCCUCCGUAAACUAAUAUAAGAGUGUUUAGAAUACUAAAAUAGUGAUCUAAACGCUCUUAUAUUAGUUUACAGAGGGAGUAGAAACCAAGACUGAAAUCAGCACUUCAUCUAGCCUCAGUUUGGUUCCCUGCUAGCAUCACUCAUGUGCUCCUAUGCAGGAUUUCACCGAAUACACAAAUCUGGAAGAGUGCAUUGCCUAUCUCUGCGAUUACAUGGUGAAAAACGGGCCUUUCGACGGCCUGCUUGGAUUCUCCCAGGUAGGAAACUACUUUUUUCCAAAAGAACCACAUCCCAACUGUUUGAGGCGCCUGUGGCAACACAGGAUCAAACAUAGUUGUACUACUGUGUUUUAGUUCAUCUUAUUGACUUCCCUUUGCUUCCAGGGUGCAACACUUUCAGCCCUUUUGAUAGGCUACCAAGCACAGGUACUCCUCUUGAACUCUCAGAUUCUGCAAACUUUUGAGUCCUCGAGAUAAGUUCCAGAGACAUACAAAGGAGCAAGAAACAACAGAUCGGAUCUGCAAAUAUUAAUAAAGCAACUGUGACAUCCAUCUACCGUUAUUAAACAACAGAGUCCCCGCGAUCUAGCAAUUUUAGUUAGUGGUAGAGAGUCUUUUGGCCCCUUUAUUAAUAGGAAACUCCUGCCCAUCCUGACAGAAUAGUAAAUUUUGAUAAAUUUAGAGUGUCACAUGCCACACUCUAGGACAGAGAAAGUUAUUCUUCAAGAGCAUAUGCCGAAGAUAUCAUAAACUUAUGCAGAACAUGUUGAUACAGGCUUGCAUCUGUCUCUAAGUUAACAAUUCUAAUAAGUAUUUACUAGGACAUGGAAAUUUGGCUCAAUGGAAGAUGUGCUCCAAACUAUCUGCUGCUUCUGGUUCCAUGUGGAUUCUGACUAGGUUGAAUGAUUUAGGGCAAGGCGCUGAAUGAUCACCCACCAAUUAAGUUCAUGGUGUCAGUAUCCGGGAGCAAAUUCAGGGACCCAAGCAUCUGCGAUGUGGCCUACAAGGACCUGAUCAAGGCGAAAUCUGUACAUUUCAUUGGAGAGAAAGACUGGCUCAAAGUACCUUCCGAGGAGCUGGCUUCUGCCUUUGCUGACCCUCUCAUCAUAAGGCACCCCCAGGGUCACACUGUCCCCAGGCUUGGUUUGCACUCUCCCCUGUCUUUCCAUGCGAAUAACUGUCGAAAUUUCUUGUGAAUAGAUUGAGAGGCAGAUUGUUUGUCUUUUACAGAUGAGGCAUCUGUGAAGCAGCUUUCUGAAUGGAGCGCAAGCAUCCUGGAAGAUCUCAAGAACGCAGAUGCUCCCAAGGCCUCAAAUUCAGAGAGCUCAGGAAAUAAGGACAAUGUCGGCGUGGAGUCAGCAGAAAACCUGAUGGAACAAGUUGCAGCUUGAGGCAGUAGCCGAACUUCGCUUGUUGAGUUGCGUUGGUGUUUGAAACCUGUUGCUUGCUUGCUUGCUGUAUCCAGAUGGUGGACCUUGUUCACCGUAUUAGCCUCAUUGCGAGAUGAGAAUAAAUCAGUCCCGAUUUGCCUGUUCUUUUCCUCCCAUGUUCAUCCUUUUUAUCUUGAUAUCAGUAUGCUCCGACGCUAGACAAACAAAAUUUUAACCUUUCCUUCUUCAAGGGAAAAAAGAGAGGCACUUGAACCUACUGGUAUAUAUUUCAUCUGCUUCUAGACCAUGAAGUCAUGAACCAGCCUAAAGCUCUAUAUACAUCGAGCACCCGACGAAUCUACAAAGAACAACGAACAACUAUAUACAUGAGAACCUAAAAUACUACUUCCUGAGAAAGACACUCUGCAGCUGCCUCAUGUGGAGCCUCUUUCUUCAGCCUCACUCUCGCAAACCCAAACAACAUCCUUUAUCUGUGCAGAGAGUGUUUUGUAGAACUGCGAACAAUUAAUGCCGAGUCAGUAAGGUUUACCCAUUGGAUAUAAUCUGAUUUGCAACCACAAGAAUAAACUCAAGGUUAAAAAAAGGCAUUCUUCUUUGUUGGGUACUGAUUGUGUUCUAAGUUGCUUGCUUAAAUUACGUGUGCGUAGUCCUUCAUGGGCACUUCCGCACUUGUAUAGAAUAAAAAAGCUUCAAGAAAGAAGCUACUGUACAUCUUAAUUUACUAGUGAAAUGAGUAAAAUAGCUAAAGAACCACAAUAUUCAAGAGCAGUACCUUCUGAAAUUCCAGAGUAUCUCCUUUUGCCUUUUUCAGCUCAACAACAAACAAAGAUGGAGCCACUUGGAAAACCUAGAAAUGUCAUCCUUGAUCAAUAAUUGCAUUACAUUGUGAAACACAUUUCUCAAACUGCUGUGUUUUUUUCUAACCUCAGUUGCAACAUUUAGGUUUCCUUUUCUUCCUGCUUCUAGGUUCUUCAUUCGCAUCUAGAAAGAACAAGAUAUAAAAUGAAAGGUUUAAGUCAUGGGGAUGACAAGGACAGUCUCAGUUACUCAUAUUCAGAUACUUCAAAUUUCGCACAACCUAUGUUAAAAGUCAUAUCCAUGGGAGGAUGCUUGGCAUUACCUUGUAGUUCUUCUUUUGGAUGUCAAAGCCAAGUGGCUUAGCAGCCUCUUCUAUCCGACUGAUGAUUUCUUCAGGAGGACAUUGCGAUGUAAAUCUUGUUUCUCUUCUGUACUUCUGUCAUUGGUUAACAAACUUUAGCAUGGCUUCUUGUGAAAAGUUGCCAUAAAUAUACAGAUGUUGUAAAGAGAUUCAUGGGACACAAUGCUGGAACAAUUCCUAACCUUAUCAGCUUCAAAAAAAUUGCGUAGGUUCAGUCCUUUAUUCAGUGAUAUCAACUCGAAUGCGUUCAUCGAAGCUGGCUGCCCUUCCAUUUCCUCCUCAACUUGUUUUUCCUGGAAACCAUAGUAACCAUCCAUAUUAGUAAUAUUAACUCAGCCAUAAAGGCUAACAGCUUUUCCAGUGAAAAUAAGAUUGGUUAACUCACUUCUGAGUCUCCGAAAGCAGCAUCAACAUCAUCCAAACUAGUUUGAUGUUUCUCAUCAAAAACAGGUGGCUUAUAUCCUUUUUUGAACCAUGGGUCUUUCAAUAGUUGUGGGAUAGUUAUGCGCUGGUCAACGACAAUGAAGAACCGAGUAAGAAAGAACUCCCUAAGUAAUGUAGUCAUAGACCAAAAAAAGUGCAGAGCCACCACUUGUGUUGUAUGGAAGCAGUUCUGUUGACCUUUUGGCUGGCUACUUUCAAAUUUCAGAAAUGGAAUGUGAAGUAAAAAAAGCUUACAGUAGAAGGAUUGGGAUCCAGAAUCCUGGGAAUCAGCCUUUUAGCUCCAUCAGAAAACCAAGAGGGACAAGUAAACUGAGCUCCAGAGAUCUGUCAAGAGCAAGAGAGUAAAUGCAAAUGUACAGCCAGCAAUAUUGGCAAUUAACGUAUUUUCUUAUUCCCUCUAUCUUACCUUUUUAUAAAGGGCUGAGACGUUGUCAUCCUCAAAAGGCAGAUAUCCAGCAAGCAUCACAAAAAGAAUUACCCCACAAGACCAAAGGUCUGCAAGCGCACCAUUAUAGCCCUUAUCUUGGAUAACCUGGAUAUUGGGUAGCAUUAGAUUUUAGGCAUGUUCAUUCCUGGUUAAAACAGAAUCACUGCAAAUGUAUAAGGACCAGUUACCUCGGGAGCAACAUAGUUCGGUGUCCCACAGGUAGUAUGUAGUAACCCAUCAGCCUGUUGAGUUGAAGUAAUCGGAGGUUACAGUUUAAUAAGUUAGAUGACAUCAACAAAAACUACAGAGAUGCAAUCAAUUGUGUGGUCUAUAAGAUUGUUAUGUGUUAUUACCUUCGCCUGCUCAGAUAUCGCACUCAAGCCAAAGUCUGAGACUUUGAGGUUCCCAGCAGUAUCAAGCAACAAAUUCUCUAGCUGGCAUACAUAAAACAUCCAUUUGUCAGUUUCAUGUUUCGCUAAACCAGAUACAUAAAUUGGAACCAAGGGGUUGAGUGGUCGGCGAUGUACCUUCAGAUCUCGGUGGUAUACACCCCUGCUAUGGCAAUAAUCAACAGCGUUGAUCAACUGCUGAAAGUAUCUGCGGGCUUCAUCCUCCUUCAAGCUCCCACGGGCGGCCUGGUUAUGAAGUUAGAAGAAAUUAAUAAAAGCGUCGUGUAAAAAAUAUCCUGCUAACUCCCAUCAUGGAGAAAUACAAAACAAGAGAUGCAGUAGUACUAACGAUGAUAUCAUGGAGCUCCCCACCCGUAACGUAUUCCAGAACAAUGAAAAUUCUCGCCUUGCUUCCCAUGACCUGUUACAGUGAAGUCAAAUAGUUGGUUGUGAACUGUAGAUUUGAAUGUAAAUAUUUCUAAUGUAAGUAGGCGAUAUCAUACUUAAAAUAAAAUGCCAAAGUUUGGCCUUUACCUCAUGGAGGCGGACAACAUUGGGGUGCUGUAUCAGCUUCAUCGUACAGAUUUCUCGUCUAAUCUGCCAAAAGAGUUCAGAGCGGCGUCAACAUCAAGGUAGAGCAUAAGCCCGUAAGCUAGCCCCCUUUCUUGACUAUAUUUAGAAUGAAAUACAGGAGCAGUUAUUUUUGCGCAUAAUGACAGCUCAGUUCUAGUAGAAAGCAUGAGCCAGGGAACUUUCUCUAUGCUGUGAAAUAUCCAGGAAACAGAGCAUUCAUGCACAGGAAAUUAUCAGAAAAUGGUCUGACCUGCUCGACCAACCCGUGCUUGUGAACCUUGGCCUUGUCAAGGAUCUUGAUGGCGACAGGAUCCCCAGACUCGGUGUCCUUGGCGAACCGGACCUUGGCGAACGUCCCUUCCCCGAUGGUCCGCCCGAGCUCAUACUUGCCGACUCGUCGCCGCACCUUGAGCGAGGCUUGCCUCCUUGCCUUGUACAUCCUCCAGGUCAGUCUUUCCUCAAGCCAGUCUCCGAAGACCUGCCAUUUUUGAACAAUUUAAGAUGUGGUGGAACCGGAAAAUUCAGCACCCAACACAGGCAGCAUGAGACAGCUCAGGCAAGGGUGGAGGAGGAGGAGCAGGACAAAUGCUGCAGCAUUAAUUUGACCAUAUAUAUAAUAACGCUUUUCAUUCAUGACUUAGAAACUGAAACCAAAUCGGCAACGUGCAAGCUUCAUCGCCUGCAGCUUCCUGGAAGCUGCCUGCCGAAACCUUUAUGCAUUUAUGGUGGCUAAUUAAUUUCAGUGGUUACUGCUUCGGGGCGAAACGUCAGCAGUCGGAUCUCGCCGUUAAACGUCUCCGGAUACUUGCGUGGUUCACGAAGCAUGCCGCGCGCUAGCUAGGGCCCUUGAAAUCUCAGACGGAUAUUUUCUGCCUGGCGCUCUGAUGUAAGCCUCGGGAAGGAUUUAGAAAACUGAAUGUCAAAACUGCUGAAAAAACCCAGGCCAUGGAGAUUAACCAAGAAAGGAUGAAGAUUUCGUGCAGCAUCUGAAACGGCACUGGGAAGGGAACAGGGGCAAAACGAAUGGCGCGCGAGAGAGAAACCCCAGCCCCAACCCGGAAAGCUCCAUGGCGUCAUUUCUUUCCCUUUCCCCAAGCGGAAGUGGGAGAGACGAGGAUGCAAGUCUGUGCUGACGGAAUGUUGCACGUGCAGGGACAUCGACACGCAAGCCGGCCGGCCGGGCAGGAGCCGGAAUCCCCUCCCCGGAAUGCUAGCCGGAGAGAGGGCUCCCCGCCCUUUCUUGGGUCCCGACGGACGGACGGAAGGAAAGAGGCGAGAAUUCCGGUGAAUCAAUGCGGGCGGCCGGGGCGAGAAAGAGGGAUCUCUUGGGAGGGGGCGUACCUUGUUCGGAGAGUCGCCGCCGGGGAGAGGAACGGAGAGGAGGGGGCCACGGCUCACGAGGAGGGAGGAGAAGGAGGCAGCCAGCACCAGCAGCCAGCGCGUGCGGGAUGGAGAUGGGGGGAUGAUGAGGGAGGGAGGGAGGGAGAAGCUCGCAGUCGCGGGGGCGGGGGUGGGGGCAGGGUCGCCUCCUGGCCUUUCCUUUUUGUAAGGCGCGUGGCGACGGACCGGACAAACGGCCCCCACCGUUUGCCUUGCCCCUCGUACCUGCACCGCUGAUGGGAAUGGGAUGCCAUCAUUAAUAAAUCUAAACCACUUCUUCUAUAAGAAAAUAGGGAAUUUGGGUUUCUGGCUUUUCUACCUUUCCAAGCAGUGGCGCCCGUUCAUGCUGGCCCCUUGCGCGGCGUCUCGUGCGGCGUGUAUUAUGAGACGGAGGGAGUACGCCGAGUUUUCGCUUGAUGUUUCGUGAACCGUGGCGAGAGAGAUGUCGGCGUGCUCUGGAUCACGGCUUGCAAGUUGUGUUAUCGCUAGAUCAUUUUGGCGAGCGAACAUGUGAAGUUCCUUAAUUGGUUGGCAGUCAUUGCUUGAUUUCGGUUUUGGAGUGAGCGAGAGAGGGGGUGGGUGGGGGGGGGUGCUUAGGCUUGAUCACAUUUUGUCAUGACAAUGUGUUACUACUAUUGACAUACUUUCAACCCCGGUGUGCCGCUCCCGCCAAUGGCUUUCCGAGACCUCCUCCCACCUUCAGCGGUUGGGUCUACGUGGCGGAGGCGUGAUCCACGAUCCACGUGGAACACCGCCACCGCAACCCCUCCCCCGGGCCCUAUUGGUGCGCCAAGGGUACGGUCUACGAUUGGUGGGAGAAGUGCCGAUAGCGUCCACGAGGUAGCAUCGUCACCUUUUCGGUGCGAUUCCGAGGAUACACGGCAUCGAAUGUUUGGAAAUGAUAUAACCAAGAUGGAUCAUAGAAACAAGAGCUUCCAACAUCAGAUGUCGCCUACAAUUUCCCCAUAAUGGUAUAUAUAUUUUUAUGAUGGUGGCAAUGGCCCUUCCGCCGCCAGUGGCAUUUUCCUUAGCAAGUAAUUCCUUGCCUCGUAGAAUGUUUUUUCAUCACUAUUGACCCACAAGGACGGCGCUUUCCCUUUAUCACGUCCAUGUGGUCACGAAGACCAGACUUCAGCAUUGCACUAUCGAUUGUAGUCUUUUCCUGUGAACGUGCAGUGCUCAUGCUGGAUUUAAGUUUUGUUUGUGGAUCUAUGCAUGUUAAAGAUCGAAUCGUAUCUUCUGCUCCCUCCGUCACGCAAUAUAUGAUCGUUUCUCAAGCCAAAACAUAGGUUGAAAAACGAUAAUAUAUUGUGGGACGGAGGGAGUUUUAGUUGCCUCUUUUGUGUGAGGGCUGGCUGAUCAUAUGUAGUUGGGUUUCUAAGCUUUUUCUAAGGGGGGAGAUGGUCCAUUUUCAAGGGAAAGAGAGAGAUAAAGAAAAGAAGAGCCUGUUGAGGCUCGAUCACGUCGCGCUGUGGUUUUCGGUUACCAGCUGCGGCGACCCCGUUUACUCAAUUGUUUAUCUGAAUUAUACUAUGACGAUCGUGAUUAGCAUGUAGAGACUUUUUUAAAAAAUUCGCUUACCAAAGCAUUGACAUUCUUUGGCGAUUGGCGCGUCGAUCCAGUGGAUCGCCAAUCGGAUAUUCUUUAAUUAGGGUUUAAUCUCUCUCGGCUAGGCUAGCUAGAAGCUGGUCAGACCAGAUCCGCGCAAGAAAUCCACUCCAUAGCGUACACCUAUGUAUCCAAGACAUGGUUUAUUCCCUCCAUCCACCCGAAAAAAGAAAGACAUGCUUUUAUUCUUUCCUCUUUGCGAAUAUUGUAGUGAGCACAUUUUAAUUGAGAUUACGACCAGCGUUUAGAAAAUGAUUAGGAGCUAGCAGGACUGCUUAGAAGGAUGUUUGGACUAGGAGUGUUUAGAAAAUGAUCGGUCCUCGGAAAUCAGAUCAAAUAUACAUAUAUCUCUGAGGCGUGCAACAUGCUCGGCAAAAUAUAUUCAUGGCAAAAUAAAAGGAGAAGAAGCUAGCAGACAUGCUUGGCAGAAUGAAGGUAUGAUCUUAUCUUUUUAGGGUGAAAUUUCUUGUGGUCGCAUUGUGUUCUAACCCGCACCGUCUGCAACCGGCACAUGCACGCAUGCAUGCCGUGGCACCAGCGGUGAACAGUUAGAUAGAUAUUUGUUCUGUUUGUCUCAACUGUUACUGUUACUCCAUCCCAAAGAUCCAAUCAAGCUUAGCUAACUGACCGGCCACAUGGUUGUUCUGUUUGUCUCAGCUAUUACAGUACAAAAUUUGUCAUUAACUGGUCUCUCUCUCGUGGCAAAUAGUUAAGGACCAACUCAAAAAACAAAAAAGAUUAGGGCAUCUCCAGUGUGGACUCUCAAACCAGCCGGCAUCUCCAGUGUGGACUCUCAAACCAGCCGCAUCUGUUCGGACGUGUUUUGCCAUUCAACGUGGGCCAGUCCGGACGUCCUUUGGGGGGCUUUGCGGUAGUCUGGACCGCUCAAGCGCCCGACCGCGAGCGCCGCCCGCUGCACACGCCUUCUCCUUGCAUUGUAACGACAUCCAUCUGCCCGCCUACCUCCAUUAAACCAGCGUGUGUACCGAGGAACCUACUCUGGCGCCCCGAGCGCCACAUGUCCGGCCCUGUGCUGGCCGACAUAAAACACCUCUCCGGUUGGCGCCUCGCACCCACCUGCUAUUUAAACGCGGCCAGGCGCCGGGCAAGAACCACACCACACUUUCGCUCUCCAUCUCCUCCUUGCACGCCUCACCCGCCAUGGCAUCCGGAUCGAGAGCCCUGUGGGGCGGCCUCUCCGGUGAGCAGAAAAAGGAGCUCUCUGGCAUUGCAGCUGUCUGGGUGGUCUGGCGAGCCAGCCGGAUACAUGCUAGCUUGCCAGCAAGCUCUCCGAAGCCAGCACCACCGCCAUCGCUAGGACGUCCUCGCCCCUCUAGGCUGGCCAACGCCAUCUACCGGCAAUCUGCCACGAGCGAUGGCGGCAACUCCUCCGACCUGCGAAGAAAGAAGCCAUGUUGCGGAGUUUGACGUGCUGGCGGAGGAAUUUGACUGGGGUACCGACACCGACCUUGCCAACUCCGCGUCGGCGACGCCCGCCGCUGCCGCCGAUAGCGAGGAAUAGUAGGCCAUGGGACUAUGGGAGGCCGCUACCGCUUGGGUCUUGCCCAACGCCGGUGAAGCAUAUCCCUCCGAGGCUCAUGGCGGUCCGGUGAGCUUGCUGCCGGACAUGGAAAAGACAUGUCGGGGGAAUGGGGCUUCGCCACGGCCAGCGAUAGACUAGGUUAGAAUAGCCUAGUAUAGUUCGGGAAGUGCAUGGAUGAACCCAGGUACAUAUGAACCCACUUCGAAAAACAUAUUUCUAAAUGCUAAAAAAAUCUGAAAAUGGUUGCACGGAUACAUCUUCAUGUUCUAUGUGUGUGCAUAAAGUUUCACGGGAAAAUAACCUUUUUUGUGGCGUGUGCAAAAAAGAUAAAAAAUUAUGUCGUGAAACGCUAUUUAGAAACACUGAAAUUUGUCUUUUUUACAUAGACAAAACAAAAAGAUAUUUUUUCACAAAACUUUGUGCCGCGCACACACAUUUGCGCACAUGUCUGCGUGAAAUUUUCUUUUGAAUUUUUUUGACUUUUUAAAAUGUGCUUGAAGUGCAUUUUUUGAGAAGUGGGUGCAUAUGCCCAUGGGUGCAGGAGGUGCCCUCUCAGUAUAGUCCGAUAUAGUUUGAUUGAAAUAUGUCCGAAAUACAAAUAUUUUCAUUCUGUUUAGAUGAAAAUGCCGGGUUUGCAUGCGAUUCACCCGGCUAGUAGAAAUUCGGUUUGGAUUGUAUGCGGCUACAGUUGGAUGGCAGGCUACCGUAUCAGUAUCAUAGACCGGUCUCUUCUGAUCUGCGGCGAAUGUGGUGUCUGAUUUAAGGGUCAACCUCGGAGAUGCCCUCAACGAGAAACUCGUCCGUCGAGGGGCUUACUUACGGGCUGUUGCAUGCACGUACGGUGCUACGGUGAAAACAGGAGGCAGAGAAAACAGCAGACAACAUUUCCCAACUGACACACACGUAGCCUGGCUGGCUAAUCAACCACGCAUUAAUCCUACCAGAUACACAUUUGCCACGGAAGUAAUUAGCAAUCCUGCCAGCGAGACAACAAGUAUGCACUUUUCCGGAUUGUUUGUUAGUGGGAAGUAAUACUCCCUGUGGGUACGACUUUAGUUAGUAGGAAGCUUCGUGGAAGGUGCGCGCGCAGGAGGCGACGACCGCCCGGAGGUGAAGCCAUGCAUGGCCUCAUCGAUCACUCGCCUGACUGGCUGUAUCUGGAGCUGGGACGCAGGCCGCUUUGGAGCUUGCUGCAUGCAGGCGGUGGCGGGAGCGGUGCGGCGCGGGCGGGUGCGCGCGUGGUGAGGGAGGGAGAGGGGCGCGAGCUGCCGUGCGAGUUCGUUGGGAGAAUCUCAAUCUUGUGUGCGUCCANNNNNNNNNNNNNNNNNNNNNNNNNNNNNNNNNNNNNNNNNNNNNNNNNNNNNNNNNNNNNNNNNNNNNNNNNNNNNNNNNNNNNNNNNNNNNNNNNNNNNNNNNNNNNNNNNNNNNNNNNNNNNNNNNNNNNNNNNNNNNNNNNNNNNNNNNNNNNNNNNNNNNNNNNNNNNNNNNNNNNNNNNNNNNNNNNNNNNNNNNNNNNNNNNNNNNNNNNNNNNNNNNNNNNNNNNNNNNNNNNNNNNNNNNNNNNNNNNNNNNNNNNNNNNNNNNNNNNNNNNNNNNNNNNNNNNNNNNNNNNNNNNNNNNNNNNNNNNNNNNNNNNNNNNNNNNNNNNNNNNNNNNNNNGGUUGAAACAGCUGCCGCUGGGCAAGAGCGCCGGUCGUAAAUUAUCUUCAUCAGGGCAUCUCCAACGCCCACACUUAAACCGCUCCGGGCCGAGCUGUCUCGACGUGUUUUGACAUUCAACGUGAUCCUGUAUUCGUCCGCUCGACGGUCCGGACGUCUUUUUCCCCAAGCCGAAGAAGGGUAUACGGGCGUCCGGACCAAUGCCAUGUCUGCUUCCGACAAACCUGGCCCACCCAAACUUCUCUCCCUUGCCCGUGCCCUUUCCCGCCCGAAGCCAGCUGCCCGCUUUCAUGCCGCUCUAGAGCGGCCGCUCCGCAUUGACGCUGGCUUAGAGCGGACGUGACCUCUUGCUGGUGCCGAUAUUGAAACGGCUCGCCGGCCAAGGGCGCCGCCCGGGGCACGUCUCGGAUGUACACGACUGUUAAAUUCCGGAGGGACAGGACGGGUAUCUAUCACGCCCGUUUAAUGCCCCCCUCCCAUAUGCCGCCAUUAAAUAUGCUCGUUGGUCGAGAGACCAAUUCCUACGUCCACACAUUGACGCACCCGGAUGCUUGGCCCUACUGGCAUCCACUAUUUAAAGGCGGCCACACCCGGCUCACAGCACACCACAACCCAUCCGCUCGACAUAUUCCUCCCGUGCACCACAUCCGCCAUGACCGCGAGGAGGAACACUCUGUGGGAGAGCCUCUUAACGAAGCAAAAACACGAGGUAGCCACCGUUGGAGCCGCCUGGCAGAGCCGCCGCGCUAGGCAGGUAGAGGCCGGCAUGUCGGCCAGCUCUCGAGAGGUCUCCGACAACGAUCCCACGACGGAGACUGGCUCUAAUGACGACUCCGCGUCGCAACCCUUGCCGGUGCAUACCGGCUUGACGAUGGAGCAGGCACAAGCACACUUCAACACCGCCAUGGCGGAGGAGUAGUCGGCGCCCGCGCCUAUGUCGUUGUUCCGGCAGGCACAUGAGGAGCAGUGGUACAAAAUGUUCCUCCUCGAGCAGCACCGGCUGGCGGAGGGCUAGAUGAACGGCGAGUGCGCGAGCGAGGAAGCCGUGGUGGCCAUGGCCACAGUGAACUCCAACUUCGUUGCCGAGCAGCAGGCGCUCUACGAAGCCGCCCGCACUCAAGCUGUCGUUUGGAACAUAUAGGUGGCGCAGCUGGACAUGGAGGCGUCGUAGGCGAUUGCGAACGAGAACGUCGGCAGCUCCACGUCCUACACGUCGCCAGACGCUAUUGACUGCACCUGUGGGAGGACGAGCAUCCCGCCCCCUUCACUUCCAUCGCGGACCUUAUGUUCACCGACGACAGACAGGUCGCAGACCCCGACGAGGAUGAGUAGGGCAUGGGCGGCGACGGGGCCUCGAGUAACAAGUGGGCCAGUCUAUCUCCCAUGUUCUACUCUUCUUGGCUGGCGGCCACACCUUCAUUUUGCGGGUCUUAUUACCGCCGGUCAUGGAGACGACAAAUGGAGGGCAUGGUCGCCAGAAGGAAACAACAAGGCUUAGACGACUGGCACGGUCGUAUGCUAGGUUUAGGUCCGGUCCCUUUUUUACUGAAAAAUGUCCGAUAUUUAAUGAAUAUGCUCCGGUUUAGAUGAAAAUCAUCCGGUUUAUUGAAAUCCGGCUUCAAAUGUAUGCAACUACGGUUGGAUGGCUGGCNNNNNNNNNNNNNNNNNNNNNNNNNNNNNNNNNNNNNNNNNNNNNNNNNNNNNNNNNNNNNNNNNNNNNNNNNNNNNNNNNNNNNNNNNNNNNNNNNNNNNNNNNNNNNNNNNNNNNNNNNNNNNNNNNNNNNNNNNNNNNNNNNNNNNNNNNNNNNNNNNNNNNNNNNNNNNNNNNNNNNNNNNNNNNNNNNNNNNNNNNNNNNNNNNNNNNNNNNNNNNNNNNNNNNNNNNNNNNNNNNNNNNNNNNNNNNNNNNNNNNNNNNNNNNNNNNNNNNNNNNNNNNNNNNNNNNNNNNNNNNNNNNNNNNNNNNNNNNNNNNNNNNNNNNNNNNNNNNNNNNNNNNNNNNNNNNNNNNNNNNNNNNNNNNNNNNNNNNNNNNNNNNNNNNNNNNNNNNNNNNNNNNNNNNNNNNNNNNNNNNNNNNNNNNNNNNNNNNNNNNNNNNNNNNNNNNNNNNNNNNNNNNNNNNNNNNNNNNNNNNNNNNNNNNNNNNNNNNNNNNNNNNNNNNNNNNNNNNNNNNNNNNNNNNNNNNNNNNNNNNNNNNNNNNNNNNNNNNNNNNNNNNNNNNNNNNNNNNNNNNNNNNNNNNNNNNNNNNNNNNNNNNNNNNNNNNNNNNNNNNNNNNNNNNNNNNNNNNNNNNNNNNNNNNNNNNNNNNNNNNNNNNNNNNNNNNNNNNNNNNNNNNNNNNNNNNNNNNNNNNNNNNNNNNNNNNNNNNNNNNNNNNNNNNNNNNNNNNNNNNNNNNNNNNNNNNNNNNNNNNNNNNNNNNNNNNNNNNNNNNNNNNNNNNNNNNNNNNNNNNNNNNNNNNNNNNNNNNNNNNNNNNNNNNNNNNNNNNNNNNNNNNNNNNNNNNNNNNNNNNNNNGGGAGGGGGAGACACGAGAUGUUCCCACGUCUGUGUGCCACCUCCUAAUAUUCCUCGCCGGAGUCUAUCCUGUGGACGACGCCGGACAUGGACUGGCCGAUCUGGUGGUCGUUGCGGCCGGGUACGAACCAAGCGGGCGGCACGACGGACGCGGAGCUGACAAGGUCUUCUGCCCGUGCCUCUUUUUUGUCUGCCUCCACGUCUAUCUUUGUGAACCAGGCGUUAGCCUCCGCCCGCAGGACGCACAACCACCAUCGCUCGCGGCGGAUAUCGCGGGCGCUUCGCAUAGACUGGUACAAUGUCGGUUGCUCAUCCUGGAAGCUCAGAUCAUCCACUGGAAGCCCAGAUCAUCCAUGAACAUUGCAUGACGACGUUAUUGUUUGCCUGCUGACGGAGCUAAAUCCAUCAGAUCUCAGGUAGAGGGUCCCGAACUAAGGGUGUAGAGACCAUGGUAAUGAGGACACGAGAUUUUACCUAGGUUCGAGCUCUCCGAAGAGAUAAAACCCUACGUCCUGAUUGUGUUUAUUGCUUUCGGAUGGAGUACAAAGUACAAAUGAUCUACCCUGAAAUUGGUGUGUAUCUAGAUGUUCUAUCGACUAGCCCAACCCCGGUUUAUAAAAGUUACCGGAGGCCUAGGAUCAUAAAAGUCCUAAUCGACUGCGUUGAUGGAGAGGAGUCCUCCAUGGAUAAGUAGUACUUGUCAUGAACGACAAGGCUUCUUGAUUUUCCUAGUAGAUUGCCAUGGGCCGUUGCGGCCAAGGACAAAAUCGACAAGGAGGUCCUCAACCCGGCUCACUAGGCCGGGAGUCGACAUGAUGAGAGGCCCCUAGCCGGGAGCCGUGGAGCCGCUUGUAGUAUGAAAUAGAGGGAGUAUGUCGAGUUUAUGUUUAAUAUAUUGUGCACCACGAGAGACGUUGGUGUGCUCCUAACAACGACCUACAAGUUUUGUUAUUGUUAGAUCUUUUUGAUGAGCCAAUAGGUACUAUUCCUUAAUUGGCUUGCGGUCAUGGCUCAUUCUCGACUUUGGAGGAAGGGAAAUAUAUAUGGAAAGAGUUUGUUUAGCCUCAAUCAUAUUUUUGUCUUGAUCAUAUUUUCGUGGUGAAAAUGUAUUACUAUUUUUGAACGGUUUUUAAUUUCUUUUGAACUGAAUGUAUUACUAUUGUUGACAACCUUUCUAUCGACGGGAUACAUUCAAGCUGGCGUGUCGCUUCCACUAGCGGCUUCCGAGAAACUCUCCCACCUUGGCAAGGGUUGCAGCUACAUGACAUACGUGUGAUCUGCGAUCCAUGUGGAAUUACCCGCCUCUCUCCACCACCACCCUCUUCCCCCUCCCGGACUUAUUGGUGCACCAAGGGUGUGGGCUAUGAUUGGUGGGGGAAGCGUCGAUAGCGUCCACAAAGUUGCGGCGUCAUGCCCUUCUGAGGUACGUGGCGUGGAAAUGAUAUAACGAAGGCGGAUUUUAGAAACUAGAGCUUCCCAUGUCACAUGCCGCCUACAUUUCUCAAAAAGGUAUAAAUAUUGUGAUGGUGGCAGUGAACCUUCCACCAUCAGUGGCGUUUCUGUUCGCAAAUAGUUCCCAAAAUGCUACACCUACGUAACAAGUAAGCUCCGUAAUUUUCCUUCCUCUAAACUAAUCACCCCCCUGAAUUUCAUGGGGUGGGCCUGGGCCAUUUUUCUUUCAGUUAAAUCAGGCCACAUCAGCUCAUACAUAAGUUUUGUAAUAGUUGUUAUGUAGGUGUAGGAAAGCUCUUCCCAAAAAUGCUACACAACGACUUUUAAGUUCUGAUGAGGAUCUAUUUUACCGAUCAAACCCCCCACUAAAAAAAAUCAUACUUUCUACAUAUUAAUUACUAUUUUUGCUAGGGCUGAUCAUAUAAAUAUAAGUGGAAUGGUUCAGUUUCAAGAAGGGGAGAGGGGGAGACGGAGGGUAUGUUAGGCUCGGUCACGUUGUGUUGUGGUUUUUGGUUACCAAGCUAUGGCGACCCUGUGCAUUUCUUUUUCUGAACCAUACUAUGACUAUCGUGAUUAGCAUGCAGAGACUUUUUAAAAAAUAUAAAAGCAUUGACAUUCUUUAGCGAUUGACGCGUUGGAUCGAUCCAAUCCCCAUCGGAUUAUUCUUUAAUAUCUCUCUCUCGCUCGCUCGGCUAGCAGCUGGUCCGAUCAGAUCGAUUUGGUAGUGCAGCCGUACAACUCUGUAUCCAGGGCAUGUUUUAUUCGAGGCUAGCUCUGCGUGUGAAUGCAACUAUAUAGUGUACAAUACUUGAAAAAGAUCGAAAUGCAUAUUCUGUGAGUGGGUGAUGUACCUAUUAAGACCGACUAAUAGGGUUUGAUUGGGACUUUGAUACGAGAUCAAAUAUAUAUAUGUGUGCUCUGCGUGCAACAUGCUAGGCAGAGUGUAUAUACUCAUGGCGAAAUAAAAGGGGGAGAAGCUAGCAAACAUGCAUGUUUGGCAGAAGGAAGCAGACAUGUUAUCUUGGGGUGAAAUUUCUGUGGUCACGUUCGUUCUCACGGCACAUGCCUGGAUAGUCAAAACCACACCGUAGGCACCAUCUGCAACCCGCACAUGCAUGCAUGGCAGCGGUACCUGGGUGAACAGAUAGACAUUUGUUCUGUUUGUCUCAACUAUUUACUGAUUACUCUGUCCCAAAGCGGAUAUUGUCUUUGGAGGCCGAGCUUCAUGGAGCUCGGUUUAAAAAAAUUUGAAUUUUGUCAAAUUUCAUAUUUUCUACAUUUCAAAAAAUUCUGAAAAAACACACACAUAUACAUGAAGGCAUAACACACAUGUGUGUAAAUUUCCAGGGCAAAAUAAGUUAAAAAUGAGGGUUGUGCCAAAAAGACAAAUCUGAAGCUUUUUAACACAUGAUACUAUUAAUCCUCUCAGACCAUGAAUUUGUCUUUUUUGUACAGGUCAUAUUUCAACUUUUUCAUUCUAAAAUUUUACACACAUAGACAUAACAUACUUGUUUACUUACACAAUUUUUUUCAGAUUUAUUUGAAACCGAAAAGUUUGAAUUUUGAUUUGUUUUCAAAAAAAGGCCUCCAUGGCUCCCGGGAGCCAAACGUCCGCUCUCGUCCCAAAGACCCAGCUAACCUUAUCUCUUGUAAAAAGAAAAACUAACCUAAUCUAACCGGCCGACCUCUCCCCUCUAACACGAACAUAUAAAAUUCUUGUCACCGACUGACCCCUCUUCUCUCUACAAAGAAAAGACAAUCGUUACGGAGAGGCCCGUGGGUCAAGAAACUUACUUGCCGGGCAGUUGCAUAGCACGUAACUUCCUACGCAUAUGUUGGUACCAUAAGAAACAGUUGGUCCGGUCCUCAAAAAAAAAAAAGAGAAGAAGAAACAGUUGGUCCACCAAGGCAAGAAACUGAUAAAAUUAGUCGACGCUACACGUACGACCCAUAAAAAUAUUACUCUACAAUCCUUGUAAGACGCAUGACAUGAGCUGUUGGUUCCCUUCCCCUGUUUCAAUGUGAGCGGUCCAUGUUAGUAAGCGUCGUACAAGGAUCGUAUAGGAAAGUAAUAUCGUACACACAUCUUUUUUGUUUUCCUUUCGGCGAAAGAGAUAACAUUUUGUUUAACCCACCCACCCACACAAACAUUGAGUUAUCGACCAUGCAUUAUGUACUGAUGUAAGUAUCUGCCACGAAAAGCCAGGCAAUAACAAGUAACGUCACCAUUCUAAAUGUAUUAUUGCGUUGUUUUGUUUGUGUAUAUCUUGUAAGUAUCUACGGAGGCGCGCGGGUGCGGUGGUGCCGGUACGACUUUAGGAAGCUUCGUGGCAGGUGCGCGCGCGGCAGACGACGAGUCGAGACUAUGGAGCCAUGGGCACGUAGUAGUACUACGUACACGCGCGUAUGAUAAGCGCGAGGUUAGCUCAAAAAUGGCCGUGCAUGGAGCUGGGACGCAGGACGUUUUGGAGCUUGUUGCACGCAUGCACGCCGGAGCGGGAGCGGGGGGCGGUGCGGCCCGGCCCGGGCGGGUGCGCGCGUGGAAUGGGAGCGAGGGAUGGGGGCGCGCCGCCGUGUGAGCUCGUUGGAGGAAUCUUGUUGUGGGCGCCCGUCCACGGUCCACGGCUAGGCGAAACCACGUGCGGCGCGGAGCGAUUUUUUUUAAAAGAAUAACUUUAUUAAUUGGAAAUAACGAUUACAUUGUUUAUAAGAAAAGAUACAAUAUCGCUCAUAGGCUCCUCAAUCCACUCGUUUGUCUCGAAAACUCUCGCUAACCUAGCUAGUUCAUGAGCAACUCUAUUGGCUUCCUUAUUACAGUGUUCAAAACUAGAAAGUGAAAAGUCACAAGCCAAGAAAGAGCAAUCAUCUAAAACUGCUGCCGCCGCUCCCGUAGAUUGUCCUCCAUUCUUCAUUAUGUCAAUGACUUCCAUAUUAUCAGGAGUUUAUUACCAGGCGAUUGCAUCCCGCCUUUUGUGCCAGAGAUAAGCCAAAACUUAGAGCCAACGUUUCUGCUGUCAGAACGUCCACACACCAAUCAAUCUUUCAAUUUCCACCGAUGAUGGAAUUUCCUUUAUCAUCUCUAAGGACAGCUCUCGCUGUGCCCCUGUGCUGGUCAUGGUCAAAAGAUGCAUCUAUAUUAAGCUUAACAAAACCCAUAGGGGGCUUACUCCACCCCCCUCAUUUACUAGUCGCGUUAGGGGAGUUCGCUUUAACAAAAUUAGUUGUUAUAGCCCGAACCCCCGAGGAUGUGUGGUAUGCAUCUUGUAUCUUUCCCUCAUGGAUCGGCUUCCGUCUAUCCCACCAUAAAUACCACACGGUUAUAGUGAUCAUCACAUGUACAUUCUGGAAUCCCAAAUUUGAUAGGUCCUGAUCUGGUAAAAGGAGUAACAAUUCAAGUACCGCCUCACCCGCAUGAUCAAUAGCACAGGCUCUUUUUAUCACCUCAUUCAUCCCCAACUUAUCCCACACCUCCUUCGCUUUCUGACAGAGAAACAAAACGUGCUUUGCCUCUUCUGGUCCAUUCGAACAUGAUGGGCGGAUUUGCGAAAUUUUCAAGUGUCUAUUUGCAAGCGUAACACGACAUGGGAAGUUUCAUGUAAUGUACGCCAAAUGAAGUUCUUUACCUUUGCCAGACAAGAAAGUUUCCAAAUCUUAGACCAAACAUGAUUAACAUUGAUUCUACCCAUACCAUUUGUAUAUUGCAAUUUUCUCCCAUGUUGAUGAUUCCAUCCCGCCAAAUAAGCUGAUCGAACAGUGAACAAUCCAUUUUUUGUAUAGCUCCAAGCGAUGAAGUCCGACAUAUUAUGCAUAGAGAGAGGAAUGGCUAGCACUCAUUGAGCAUCAAUUGACCACAAAGUUUGCCACACCAAAUCUUCAUCCCAGAAGUUUGUGACUGGGUCAAUAAGAUCUGAAAGCUUUGACAGUAGGUGCCCACCUCUAGGAGUAAUAAUUUUCCUAUUUGCACAAUUCGGAAUCCAAGCAUCUUCCCAAAUAUCUAUGUUCUGUCCAUUUCCAAGUCGCCAGAUAUACCAAUUUUCAGUGAAUUAACUCCCGCCAUAAUGCUUUGCCACGUAAAGGAAGAUCCCUUUUUUAAGCCCGCAUUCAUCAAAUUGCCAUCGGGAAAGUAUUUAGCUCAGAAACUGAGAGGGCGGAAAUGGAUGUCAAAGUUGACGGUUAAAGAACGCAAAAACCACAGAGGUUAGUGACUUAGUGUUAAAAUCCGUGAUCGAGGUGGUUUGAUGCAGCGUGGUCAGCCGUCAGCAAGAAGCACCAAAGCAUCUUUUUUUUGCGAGAAAACUUCCGACCUAUUCAUCAAUGUCAAGGUAGUACAAAGAACACCAGAAGUGAAGAUUACAUCUAGGUCCAUAGACCACCUAGCGACGACUACAAGCACUGGAGCGAGCCGAAGGCGCGCCGCUGUCAUCGCCCUUCCCUUAUUGGAGCCGGGCAAAGAUUGUUGCCGUAGACAGUCAGAAAGUCGUCGUGCUAAGGCCCCAUAUGACCAAUGCACCAGAACAGCAACCGCCGCCAAUGAAGAGAAGCGUAAAUCGAAAGGACCCAAUCUGCAGACACACAUACAUUGACGAACAAAGACCUGAUCCAAGUGGAUCCACCAAAGACAAACGCUGACCCGAUCCCACGAGAUCCGUCGGAGACACACCUCCACACAUCCUCCAAGUACGCUAGAAGCCGUGCCGGGAUGGGGGCUAGGUGGGAAGGACCUUAUUCCAUCUUCAGAAAGUCGCCACCGCAUCGUCUUCCUGAGCAUGGUACAAACCCUAACAAAACUUAAGAAAACACCUAAAAAUAAGCCAUCCCGCCGGCAAGGGUCGGGAUCCACCGCGCCUCCAUGGUCCAAGAACCACAGGGGACGAGGCGGACCGGCGCUAGCACCGGUUAGAGGCAGGGAAACCCUAGCGCCUUGGUCACGGGAGGCUGAGACCGAAAGGUCGAGCGUGAAUCAUAUAGUAGAUAUGAUCAACAUAGUGAUGUUCACCAUUGAAAACUACUCCAUCUCACGUGAUGAUCGGACAUGGUUUAGUUGAUUUGGAUCACGUGAUCACUUAGAUGAUUAGGGAGAUGUCUAUCUAAGUGGGAGUUCUUAAUAUGAUUAAAUUGAACUUAAAUUUAUCAUGAACUUAGUACCUGAUAGUAUUUUGCUUGUCUAUGUUGUUGUAGAUAGAUGGCCCGUGCUGUUGUUCCGUUGAAUUUUAAUGCGUUCCUUGAGAAAGCAAAGUUGAAAGAUGAUAGUAGCAAUUACACGGACUGGGUCCGUAACUUGAGGAUUAUCCUCAUUGCUGCAUAGAAGAAUUACGUCCUGGAAGCACCGCUAGGUGCCAGACCUGCUGCAGGAGCAACACCAGAUGUUAUGAACGUCUGGCAGAGCAAAGCUGAUGACUACUCGAUAGUUCAGUGUGCCAUGCUUUACGGCUUAGAACCGGGACUUCAACGAUGUUUUGAAUGUCAUGGAGCAUAUGAGAUGUUCCAGGAGUUGAAGUUAAUAUUUCAAGCAAAUGCCCGGAUUGAGAGAUAUGAAGUCUCCAAUAAGUUCUACAGCUGCAAGAUGGAAGAGAAUAGUUCUGUCAGUGAGCAUAUACUCAGAAUGUCUGGGUAUAACAAUCACUUGAUUCAACUGGGAGUUAAUCUUCCGGAUGAUAGCGUCAUUGACAGAAUUCUUCAAUCACUGCCACCAAGCUAUAAGAGCUUUGUGAUGAAUUAUAACAUGCAAGGGAUGGAUAAGACGAUUCCCGAGCUCUUCGCAAUGCUAAAGGUUGCGGAGGUAGAAAUCAAGAAGGAGCGUCAAGUGUUGAUGGUCAACAAGACCACCAGUUUCAAGAAAAAGGGCAAAGGGAAGAAGGAGGGGAACUUCAAGAAGAACAACAAACAAGUUGCUGCUCAGGAGAAGAAACCCAAGUCUGGACCUAAGCCCGAGACUGAGUGCUUCUACUACAAACAGACUGGUCACUGGAAGCGGAACUGCCCAAGUAUUUGGCGGAUAAGAAGGAUGGCAAGGUGAACAAAGGUAUAUGUGAUAUACAUGUUAUUGAUGUGUACCUUACUAAUGCUCGCACUAGCACCUGGGUAUUUGAUAUUGGUUCUUUUGCUAAUAUUUGUAACUCGAAACAGGGACUACGGAUUAAGCGAAGAUUGGCUAAGGACGAGGUGACGAUGCGCGUGGGAAAUGGUUCCAAAGUCGAUGUGAUCGCGGUCGGCACGCUACCUCUACAUCUACCUUCGGGAUUAGUUUUAGACCUGAAUAAUUGUUAUUUGGUGCCAGCGUUGAGCAUGAACAUUAUAUCUAGAUCUUGUUUGAUGCGAGACAGUUAUUCAUUUAAAUCAGAGAAUAAUGGUUGUUCUAUUUAUAUGAGUAAUAUCUUUUAUGGUCAUGCACCCUUGAGGAGUGGUCUAUUUAUAUUAAAUCUCGAUAGUAGUGAUACACAUAUUCAUAAUAUUGAGGCCAAAAGAUGCAGAGUUGAUAAUGAUAGUGCAACUUAUUUGUGGCACUGCCGUUUAGGUCAUAUUGGUGUAAAGCGCAUGAAGAAACUCCAUUCCAAUGGACUUUUGGAAUCACUUGAUUAUGAUUCACUUGGUACUUGCGAACCAUGUCUCAUGAGCAAGAUGACUAAAACGCCGUUCUCCGGAACUAUGGAGCGAGCAAUAGAUUUGUCGAAAAUCAUACAUACAGAUGUAUGUGGUCCGAUGAAUGUUGAGGCUCGCAGCGGGUAUCGUUAUUUUCUCACCUUCACAGAUGAUUUAAGCAGAUAUGGGUAUAUCUACUUAAUAAAACAUAAGUCUGAAACAUUUGAAAAGUUCAAAGAAUUUCAGAGUGAAGUUGAAAAUCAUCGUAACAAGAAAAUAAAGUUCCUACGAUCUGAUCAUGGAGGAGAAUAUUUGAGUUACGAGUUUGGUCUAUAUUUGAAACAAUGCGGAAUAGUUUCGCAACUCACGUCACCUGGAACACCACAGCGUAAUGGUGUGUCCGAACAUCGUAAUCGUGCUUUACUAGAUAUGGUGCGAUCUAUGAUGUCUCUUACUGAUUUACCGCUAUCGUUUCGGAGUUAUGCUCUAGAGACAGCUGCAUUCACGUUAAAUAGGGCACCAUCGAAAUCCGUUGAGACGACGCCUUAUGAACUAUGGUUUGGCAAGAAACCAAAGUUGUCGUUUCUUAAAGUUUGGGGCUGCGAUGCUUAUGUGACAAAGCUUCAACCUGAUAAGCUCGAACCCAAAUCGGAGAAAUGUGUCUUCAUAGGAUACCCAAAAGAGACUGUUGGGUACACCUUCUAUCACAGAUCCGAAGGCAAGACUUUUGUUGCUAAAUUAGGAUCCUUUCUAGAGAAGGAUUUUCUCUCGAAAGAAGUGAGUGGGAGGAAAGUAGAACUUGAUGAGGUAACUGUACCUGCUCCCUUAUUGGAAAGUAGUUCAUCACAGAAACCGGUUCCUAUGACGUCUAUACCAAUUAGUGAGGAAGCUAAUGAUGAUGAUCAUGAAACUUCAGAUCAAGUUGCUACUGAACCUCGUAGAUCAACCAGAGUAAGAUCUGCACCCGAGUGGUACGGUAAUCCUGUUCUGGAGGUUAUGUUACUAGACCAUGACCAACCUACGAACUAUGAAGAAGCAAUGGUGAGCCCAGAUUCCGCGAAAUGGCUUGAAGCCAUGAAAUCUGAGAUGGGAUCCAUGUAUGAGAACAAAGUGUGGACUUUGGUUGACUUGCCCGAUGACCGGCAAGCAUUGAGAAUAAAUGGAUCUUCAAGAAGAAGACUGACGCUGACGGUAAUGUUACUGUUUAUAAAGCUCGACUUGUUGCAAAAGGUUUUCGACAAGUUCAAGGGAUUGACUACGAUGAGACUUUCUCACCCGUAGUGAUGCUUAAGUCUGUCCGAAUCAUGUUAGCAAUUGCCGCAUUUUAUGAUUAUGAAAUUUGGCAAAUGGAUGUCAAAACUGCAUUCCUGAAUGGAUUUCUGAAAGAAGAGUUGUAUAUGAUGCAACCGGAAGGUUUUGUCGAUCCAAAGGGAGCUAACAAAGUGUGCAAGCUCUAGCGAUCCAUUUAUGGACUGGUGCAAGCCUCUCGGAGUUGGAAUAAACGUUUUGAUAGUGUGAUCAAAGCAUAUGGAUUUAUACAGACUUUUGGAGAAGCCUGUAUUUACAAGAAAGUGAGUGUGAGCUCUGUAGCAUUUCUGAUAUUAUAUGUGGAUGACAUAUUGUUGAUCGGAAAUGAUAUAGAAUUUCUGAAUAGCAUAAAGGGAUAUUUGAACAAGAGUUUUUCAAUGAAGGACCUCGGUGAAGCUGCUUAUAUAUUGGGCAUCAAGAUCUAUAGAGAUAGAUCAAGACGCUUAAUUGGACUUUCACAAAGCACAUACCUUGAUAAAGUUUUGAAGAAGUUCAAAAUGGACCAGGCAAAGAUAGGGUUCUUGCCUGUGUUGCAAGGUGUGAAGUUGAGUAAGACUCAAUGCCCGACCACUGCAGAAGAUAGAGAGAAGAUGAAAGAUGUUCCCUAUGCUUCAGCCAUAGGCUCUAUCAUGUAUGCAAUGCUGUGUACCAGACCUGAUGUGUGCCUUGCUAUAAGUUUAGCUAGGAGGUACCAAAGUAAUCCAGGAGUGGAUCACUGGACAGCAGUCAAGAACAUCCUGAAAUACCUGAAAAGGACUAAGGAUAUGUUUCUCAUUUAUGGAGGUGACAAAGAGCUAGUCGUAAAUGGUUACGUCGAUGCAAGCUUUGACACUGAUCCGGACGAUUCUAAAUCGCAAACCGGAUACGUGUUUACAUUGAACGGUGGAGCUGUCAGUUGGUGCAGUUCUAAACAAAGCGUCGUGGCGGGAUCUACAUGUGAAGCAGAGUACAUAGCUGCUUCGGAAGCAGCAAAUGAAGGAGUAUGGAUGAAGGAGUUCAUAUCCGAUCUAGGUGUUAUACCUAGUGCAUCGGGUCCAAUGAAAAUCUUUUGUGACAAUACUGGUGCAAUUGCUUUGGCAAAGGAAUCCAGAUUUCACAAGAGAACCAAGCACAUCAAGAGACGCUUCAACUCCAUCCGGGAUCAAGUCCAGGUGGGAGACAUAGAGAUUUGCAAGAUACAUACGGAUCUGAAUGUUGCAGACCCGUUGACUAAGCCUCUUCCACGAGCAAAACAUGAUCAGCACCAAGGCUCCAUGGGUGUUAGAAUCAUUACUGUGUAAUCUAGAUUAUUGACUCUAGUGCAAGUGGGAGACUGAAGGAAAUAUGCCCUAGAGGCAAUAAUAAAGUUAUUAUUUAUUUCCUUAUAUCAUGAUAAAUGUUUAUUAUUCAUGCUAGAACUGUAUUAACCGGAAACAUAAUACUUGUGUGAAUACAUAGACAAACAGAGUGUCACUAGUAUGCCUCUACUUGACUAGCUCGUUGAUCAAAGAUGGUUAUGUUUCCUAGCCAUUGACAUGAGUUGUCAUUUGAUUAACGGGAUCACAUCAUUAGGAGAAUGAUGUGAUUGACUUGACCCAUUCCGUUAGCUUAGCACUUGAUCGUUUAGUAUUCUGAUAUUGCUUUCUUCAUGACUUAUACAUGUUCCUAUGACUAUGAGAUUAUGCAACUCCCAUUUACCGGAGGAACACUUUGUGUGCUACCAAACGUCACAACGUAACUGAGUGAUUAUAAAGGAGCUCUACAGGUGUCUCCGAAGGUACUUGUUGGGUUGGCGUAUUUCGAGAUUAGGAUUUGUCACUCCGAUUGUCGAAGAGGUAUCUCUGGGCCCACUCGGUAAUGGACAUCACUAUAAGCCUUGCAAGCAUUGUAACUAAUGAGUUAGUUGCAGGAUGAUGUAUUACGGAACGAGUAAAGAGACUUGCCGGUAAUGAGAUUGAACUAGGUAUUGAGAUACCGACAAUCGAAUCUCGGGCAAGUAACAUACCGAUGACAAAGGGAACAACCUAUGUUGUUAUGCGGUUUGACCGAUAAAGAUAUUCGUAGAAUAUGUAGGAGUCAAUAUGAGCACCCAGGUUCCGCUAUUGGUUAUUGACCGGAGACGUGUCUCGGUCAUGUCUACAUAGUUCUCGAACCCGUAGGGUCCGCACGCUUAAAGUUCGAUGACGAUUGUAUUAUGAGUUUUUGUGUUUUGAUGUACCGAAGAUAGUUUGGAGUCCCGGAUGUGAUCACGGAGAUGACGAGGAGUCUCGAAAUGGUCGAGACAUAAAGAUCGAUAUAUUGGAUGACUAUGUUCGGACACCGGAAUGGUUUCGGGGAGUUUCGGACAUAUACCGGAGUACCGGGGGGUUACCGGAACUCCCCGGGGAGUUUAAUGGGCCAAGAUGGGCCUUAGUGGAGAAGAGGAGGGGCGGCUAGGGCUGGCCGCGCGCCCCCUCUCCCUCUAGUACGAAUUGGACAAGGAGGGGGGGGGGGCGCCCCCUUUCCUUCCUCCCCUCUCCUUCCCUUCCUUUUCCCCCUCCUACUCCAACUAGGAAAAGAGGGAGUCCUACUCCCGGUGGGAGUAGGACUCCUCCCUGGCGCGCCCUCCUCCUGGCCGGCGGCCUCCUCCCCCUGAUCCUUUAUAUACGGGGGCAGGGGGCCACCACUAGACAGAAGUUGAUCUGUUGAUCUAUUCCAGCCGUGUGCGGUGCCCCCUCCACCAUAUUCCACCUCGGUCAUAUCGUAGCGGUGCUUAGGCGAAGUCCUGCGUCGGUAGCAACAUCAUCACCGUCAUCACGCCGUCGUGCUGACGGAACUCUCCCGUGAAGCUUUGCUGGAUCGGAGUUCGCGGGACGUCAUCGAGCUGAACGUGUGCUGAACUCGGAGGUGCCGUACGUUCGGUACUUGGAUCGGUCGGAUCGUGAAGACGUACGACUACAUCAACCGCGUUGUGCUAAUGCUUCCGCUUUUGGUCUACGAGGGUACGUGGACAACACUCUCCCCUCUCGUUGCUAUGCAUCACCAUGAUCCUGUGUGUGCGUAGGAAAAUUUUGAAAUUACUACGUUCCCCAACAUUAUAUUCUUAAAAAGAGGGUUGUCCAACGACGUUCUCCAUUUCUCCCCACCCAUGCCCGACCAUUUUUUCUCAUUCCAUUUUCCCAACCAACCUUGAUUUUUUUUGCAUAAAUAUUAUUCGAAGUACAUAGUUCAAACAUAAAUAUUAUUCAGACUACAUAGUUCAAACAUAAAAUUUAAACGAUGCCACGAUCUAUUUGUCUCCAUUACGCCUCUACAAGACCAUUGAGUAGUUGUUGAUGCACUUCUCAAUCUCGAAGUUGCCGACCCAUCUCCCAAAAUUGUCCAGCAAGCUAUGCAUCUUGUUCUGGAUGUGCACACGAUUCUCGAAGCUUGUCAAAAUCAACAUUACAUAUAUAGUUACCCUCAUCCUCCGUACCUCCACAAUCUUGUUGUGCAUGACCAGACAUGAAGCCAUCACCUCUCACAAUGUCUCACGAUCCCAAAUAUUUGCGUGUCCACGAACAAUAGCCCAACGAACAGUUGUCCUGCCCGGUGUCAAAACCCCUAAAGUUGAUGCCAUGCUCGCCUUCCUUCUCCAUUUCUUCGAGGAUUAUCAUCGUCAUCAACUUGUACUCGCCAUCACUAUCAUCCGAUGACAAUGAAUCGCAUAACUCAUUGUAAAUAAACUCAUCAUCCGAGUCCAUUGUGUAUCCCUAUAAAUGUGCAUAAACCAAGGUAAGAAAAUAUUUUUCUCGUAAUAAUCGAUGAUUAUUCUAGAAUCAUUUGGGUAUUUUGGUAUGAUAAAGGUAAAACCCAAGGCACAUUCAAGACUUCUGUAAGAAAAGAUCAAAGCCAUAUUUAGGUCACGAUCAAGAAAGUGUGAGCUGAUAACAGAUGAAGUUCAAGAUCACCAAUGUUGAUGUCUUCCUCGAUGAAAGGGAUCAACCACAAGCUUUACACCACCUAUACCGCCCACAAAAUGGAGUUAUGGAGAGCAAAAUGAAAGAUUGAUCAUGAUGGCACACUAUGCUCGACGAGUACAAUACGCACGGUAUUUGAGAUUCCCAAAAAUGGUAUGCAAGGAAAUUACCGAUGCAAUCACAACUUUCUGGUGGGGAGAUCCUGAGGAGUAGAGAAAGAUGCAUUGGUUCACAUGCUGGCGAAUGUGCCUACCCAAGCGUUAAGGAGGCAUGGGUUUCAGAGACUUACAUGCUUUUAAUCUUGCUAUGCUGGCUAAAUAGAGUUGGAGGUUAAUUACACAUCUUGAUACUUUGUGUGCAUGGGUAUUACGAGCUAAACUAUUAUGAGCGAGCUUCUGGAAUUCGGCUUGCGUUGAUGGGCUAAGGCCCAAGCACACUACUCCCUCGCUCGUGAUUUAUCAGAGCCAAGGCCACCAAAUUCUUUGCACCAAUUCGGUUGAUCAGAGCCAAGAUUGCCAUGAAUGAUCCAACACUAGAGGACAGACGGGGUUGCUCGCUUCUCCGUAGCAUCUGUCUAGCAGCAAACAAACUUUUUGAACUUUGCCACUCUUACUACGUGUCCUUAUACUGUUAGAUGAUGUACAUGGUUCGAGUAUUUAUUCUCGCAACGAAAAUGUGAUUUAGUCCGACAUUAACAAUGAUUGGCAUCUUCAACAUCGAUAUGUCCGUGGACCGGUGGGGAGACCAGUUCACAAACAAUGAUGCUGGAGCCAGUCAUCCAAAGUUGUCCUCAAAACUUUUGCCUUUUCUUUUUAAGUCCGGAAGCUCAAAAUAACCGCAUAUCAAAUCAUAGAUGAUUGAAAAUGUUCAAAUGUGACAUUAGUUAUAAUUUAAAUAUUACAAUGCAACAAAGUUUUUAAAUUAAAUAAGUUCAAACUUGAAUUCAACUAGCACAUAUGUUUUAGUUGUCCCGUUUAACCAUUCACAUAUGCUCAAUCAAAUCUUACUUGAGUUACUCGAUACCGAAUUUAUUGAUGCCUUUCGAAUAAACUCGUAGAACUUGGCUGAAUUCUGAUAAGGAAUUUAAUAGGAUCACCCAUGUUCUCAAAUUCAAGAGCCGCAGUAGCGUCUUCACUCUUAUCCUCCACGAUCAUGUUAUGUAUGAUCACACAAGAUUGUCAUCACCUUCCACUAGGUCUCCGGAUCUCAUUGUCUAGUAGGUCCACGAACAACCGUUAAGCGGGCAUGGAGAACUCCUAAUGCUCUCUUCAACUGGCUCGUAUAUGUACUCUAUGUCUGAAUCCAUUGCCUUAAAGAAAGCACAAAAAAAUUAGCACGGGCAUUUCAGCAAACACUUGUGGGCUUGCCGGGUUAGGUCGAAGAGAGAGAGAGAGAGAGAGAGCGGGGUGAGGAGAGAGUGCUGAAGGAGAGAGAAAGGGGAAUGACCCAGCCAGUUCGUUUUGACAGCACCGGUCUGCUAACGGUCGUUAACUGGCACACCACCCCCUGCCCUGCGCACGUGGCCCGACUUGCGGGCCAGGGAUGUCAGAAAAUGUUUUAAAAACUUACGAUGGGCGUUUUGGAUUUUUUGAAACAGCCGACCCCAUAUUUGAUAAUUAUGAGCGACAAACAAAUUUUUGAUACCUGAAAAGUGAUAGUUUUAUGCUAUUUACACUCAAAUUGGGAUGCCAUUCUUGCAUGACUGAUCAAUUACUACAACUUACGCGACAUGCAUAAUUAGGCGAAGUUAGAACAGCGAAGUGGGCAUGCACUUACCAGUGGAGCACCCACAUACACUGAUGUCAACAUUAAGCAGUGGACUAAAAAGGAAAAAGGUGACGAAAAGAAUAACAACAACAACAAAGCCUUUAGUCCCAAAUAAGUUGGGAUAGGCUAGAGCUGAAACAUAUAAGAUCUCGUGACCAACUCAUGGCUCUGGCACAUGGAUAGCAAGCUUUCAUGCACCCCUGUCCAUAACUAGUUCUUUGGUGAUACUCCAAUCCUUUAGGUCUCUCUUAAUGGACUCCUCCCAUGUCAAAUUCGUUCUACCCCGACCUCUCUUGACAUUCUCCGUACGCUUUAGCCGUCUACUAUGCACUGGAGCUUCUGGAGGCCUGCGCUGAAUAUACCCAAAUUAAACCAUCUCAGACGAUAUUGGAGAAGCUUCUCUUCAAUUGGUGCUACCCCAACUCUAUCCCGUAUAUCAUCAUUCUGGACUCGAUCCUUCUUCGUGUGGCCACACAUCCAUAUCAACAUACGCAUCUCCGCCACACCAAACUGUUGAAAGAACAUGAAACUCUAAUCCUCUAGUUCACGGGUCAUGAUCGCCCGAGAUUAUUUAUUAAUUAAUUGUGCGUCAAAGAGGGGAAGCCCCGGCCGGUGUUGUCACGGCUUGCUUAAUUUGAUCAACUUUGUUAAUUGUAACCAACGUGUCACCUGUGCGCUGCCCAUCUGGGGAUAAUUAAGAAUACAUGCCCUCCGUUUUUAAUUAUAAAUCCUUUUAGAUAUUCCAAUACAAACUACAUAUAAAUUUUAUAUACAUUUUGAUGAUUUUUGAAAAAGGAGGCGGGGCAAGGCCACCAAAUUCUUUUCACCAAUUCGCUUCAAUAAGCCAGCUUCUACCAUUAAUGAUUCAAUCAAUCAACACUACUAGUAGACGACGCUCACUUAUUACUGAUGGAGCGCACACAUCUGCAAUGCAACGUCCUUCGUUUUCAGAGUUUGCCAUUACAAGUAUAACACCAAAAUGUGCUAAAUGCUAAUACAUGCUGCCGCGCAAUGCAGCAGAGUACACAUUUGCACUACUCGUCGCCUCACUCUUGGAGGAGUAAAAGUCUGUAUUUUUUUCAAUCCACGAAGCUACAGAAAAAAAA
rnacentral:lncRNA from 1 species